GAAUGUAUGAUGAAUAUCCUGAAAUUAGCUCUGAAGUUAAAAUGCAAAAUUCAUCAUUCCAGAUAAUGAAGAAAACGGGAAUUAAACAGUAUGGUCACCAAAAAUCAGAUGCAACAACUUAUCAUGAAAUAGAAUCGAUUAUGUUGUAUAAAAACAAGGAAAAAAAUUAUGAUCUUUUAGAAAGACCUGGAUCAUCAAAUCCAUUCAAGGUUUAUUUUCUCGAUCAAAAAUUUAAUUGAUCCAACUAUGAAUAAACAUCAAGUUGCCAAACAGGCGAAAAUUUUACUAGAAAUUGAUAAAGCUCAUAAGGAUAGAAGUCCGACUCUGUCAGCUUCAAUUUUUUUCCUCGAAAACUGAAAAUUUUUACAUGACUAUAAUGUCUCAUUCGGAUGACAGCAACAACGAAUUGAGUUUGUGUUGGGUACCACACGAGGCUGAGCCGAGAGAAAUAAGUUAUGGUCUCAUGAUAAAUCUUUUGUUAGCGUGGAUGAAGAAUACACUUACGAAGAUAAGGAAGAGGGGGUUGCAUUCAUCGAACGACAUCUCCGUGUAAUUCUCCCAAGGCGAAUUAUCAAUCGAUACAAAAGAUGAUUCUAAAGAAUCAAAAACGUUGAGUAGAAUUGUAAAAAGGACAAUGGGAAUUACGGAUGAACGCGAAUUGCGCGAUCGAUGGAAAGCUUUUGAUGAAGUACCUGGGCCUAUC